rnacentral:lncRNA from 1 species
UAUUAGAUGCUAUAAACUUUAGUUCCUUAAGCCAUAUUAUGAAUCUUUAACUUAAUAAGUUAUAUGUUUUGACAUGUAACACUUGAAUAUUAAUUGUUUUAUACUUGAGAGGACAAUUCCAAUAAUAUUAAAAUUGAUGGACUUUAAACAAUUAAUAUUCAUAACUUAAAUAUUAUAAUUGAACAAUAAAUAAUAUGUCAAUUAAAAUUUGAAACUUAAAAGAUUUGAAACGUUUUUAACCUCACUAGACAAAAAUAAUCG